GCCAGGCACGGUGGUGUGUGCCUGUAGUCCCAGCUAUUCAGGAGGCUGAGGUGGGAGAAUCGCUUGAACCCAGGAGGUGGAGGUUGCCGUGAGCCGAGAUCGUGCAGCUGCACUCCAGCCUGGGCAACAAAGCGAGACUCCAUCUCAA
ensembl:misc_RNA Metazoa_SRP Metazoan signal recognition particle RNA